AGCUGGUUCCCUCCGAAGUUUCCCUCAGGAUAGCUGGAGCCCAUUACGAGUUCUAUCAGGUAAAGCCAAUGAUUAGAGGCAUUGGGGACGCAACCGCCUCGACCUAUUCUCAAACUUUAAAUAGGUAGGAUGGCUCGGCUGCUUCGGUGAGCCGUGCCACGGAAUCGGGUGCUCCAAGUGGGCCAUUUUUGGUAAGCAGAACUGGCGAUGCGGGAUGAACCGGAAGCCGGGUUACG
rnacentral:ncRNA from 1 species